rnacentral:lncRNA from 1 species
UGUGGUAAAGUAGCCCUCAUACCCAUUAACAAUUCACAACUCAGCUCUGCAAAUGGAGCAGAGAACGAACCUGAUCAUUAGUGGAAACUACUAUUGUCAGCACUAAUAAAGAACCUCUCCUUCUUCCCCUGAAGGACCCUGGUAUCAAGCAACCCACAAAGCCUUACACUUGAGUCAGCCUGAAUGACAACAGCUGUGAAAAUUUCUUAUCAAAAUCAGUGCUUCUCAAAGAGUGACCUCUUCAACAAAUGAUGCUGGGACAACUGGGCAUCCACAUGCAAAAGAAUGAAGUUGGACCUCUACCUCAUACCAUAUACAAAAACCAACUCGAAACGGACCAAAGACCUAGAAGUAAGAGCUAAAACUAUGAAACUCCUAGAAGAAAGCUUAGGGAUAUAUCUUCAUGACCUUGGACUUGGCAAAGUAUUCUUAGAUAUUAGACAAAAAGCAUGAGCCACAAAAGAAAAAUAGAUAAAUUGGACUUCAAAAUUAAAAACUUUUGUGCAUCAAAGGACACCAUCAAGAAAGUGAAAAGACAACCCACAAAAAGGGACAAAAGAUUUGCACAUCAUAAAGGGUCUAGUAUCCAGCAUAUGUAAAGAACUUUUACAACUUGACAGCAAAAAGACAAACAACCCAAGAAGAAGUGGCAAUGGAUUUUAGUGAAUGGCUAACAGCCCCUGCCACAGAAGGCGAGUCAAGAACUUGUGCCUUAUGGAAUACUACUCAGCUGCAAAACAGAACAAAAUCAUUCCAUUUGCAAUAACAUGGAUGGACCUUGAGAGAAUUAUGUUAAGUGAAAUAAGCCAGCGAGAGAAAGAUAAUCUGUGUAUGACUCCACUCAUACGAGG